UGUCCGGAUUUACUGGGUGUAAAGGGUGCGUAGGCGGCUUUGCAAGUCAGAUGUGAAAUCUAUGGGCUCAACCCAUAAACUGCAUUUGAAACUGUAGAGCUUGAGUGAAGUAGAGGCAGGCGGAAUUCCCCGUGUAGCGGUGAAAUGCGUAGAGAUGGGGAGGAACACCAGUGGCGAAGGCGGCCUGCUGGGCUUUAACUGACGCUGAGGCACGAAAGCGUGGGUAGCAAACAGGAUUAGAUACCCUGGUAGUCCACGCUGUAAACGAUGAUUGACUAGGUGUGGGG
rnacentral:rRNA from 1 species